UACGUAGGUGGCAAGCGUUGUCCGGAUUUAUUGGGCGUAAAGCGAGCGCAGGCGGUUCCUUUAGUCUGAUGUGAAAACCCCCGGCUCAACCGGGGAGGGUCAUUGGAAACUGGGGAACUUGAGUGCAGAAGAGGAGAGUGGAAUUCCAUGUGUAGCGGUGAAAUGCGUAGAUGUAUGGAGGAACACCAGUGGCGAAGGCGACUCUCUGGUCUGUAACUGACGCUGAGGAUCGAAAACGUGGGUAGCAAACAGG
rnacentral:rRNA from 1 species